UACGGAGGGAGCUAGCGUUGUUCGGAAUUACUGGGCGUAAAGCGCACGUAGGCGGCUUUGUAAGUUAGAGGUGAAAGCCCGGAGCUCAACUCCGGAACUGCCUUUAAGACUGCAUCGCUUGAAUCCAGGAGAGGUGAGUGGAAUUCCGAGUGUAGAGGUGAAAAUUCGUAGAUAUUCGGAAGAACACCAGUGGCGAAGGCGGCUCACUGGACUGGUAUUGACGCUGAGGUGCGAAAGCGUGGGGAGCAAACAGGG
rnacentral:rRNA from 1 species